GACGAACGCUGGCGGCGUGCUUAACACAUGCAAGUCGAACGAUGAAACCGGACCUUGCUCCGGUGGAUUAGUGGCGAACGGGUGAGUAACACGUGAGUAACCUGCCCUUGACUCUGGGAGAACUGCGGGAAACUGUAGCUAAUACCGGAUACGACCCUCGGCGGCAUCCCCUGGGGGUGGAAAGAAUUUCGGUCAAGGAUGGACUCGCGGCCUAUCAGCGAGUUGGUGAGGUAACGGCUCACCAAGGCGACGCCGGGUAGCCGGCCUGAGAGGGUGACCGGCCACACUGGGACUGAGACACGGCCCAGACUCCUACGGGAGGCAGCAGUGGGGAAUAUUGCACAAUGGGCGCAAGCCUGAUGCAGCAACGCCGCGUGAGGGAUGACGGCCUUCGGGUUGUAAACCUCUUUUAGCAGGGAAGAAGCGAAAGUGACGGUACCUGCAGAAAAAGCACCGGCUAACUACGUGCCAGCCGCCGCCGUAA
rnacentral:rRNA from 1 species